rnacentral:rRNA from 1 species
GACGAACGCUGGCGGCGUGCUUAACACAUGCAAGUCGAACGGAAAGGCCCUGCUUUUGUGGGGUGCUCGAGUGGCGAACGGGUGAGUAACACGUGAGUAACCUGCCCUUGACUUUGGGAUAACUUCAGGAAACUGGGGCUAAUACCGGAUAGGAGCUCCUGCUGCAUGGUGGGGGAUGGAAAGUUUCGGCGGUUGGGGAUGGACUGGCGGCUUAUCAGCUUGUUGGUGUGGUAGUGGCUUACCAAGGCUUCGACGGGUAGCCGGCAUGAGAGGGUGACCGGCCACAUUGGGACUGAGAUACGGACCAGACUCCUACGGGAGGCAGCAGUGGGGAAUAUUGCACAAUGGGCGGAAGCCUGAUGCAGCAACGCCGCGUGCGGGAUGGCGGCCUUCGGGUUGUAAACCGCUUUCGCAUGUGACGAAGCGUGAGUGACGGUAAUGGGUAAAGAAGCACCGGCUAACUACGUG